UACGGGGGGGGCGGAAGCGUUGUUCGGAAUUACUGGGCGUAAAGGGCUCGUAGGCGGCCAACUAAGUCGGACGUGAAAUCCCCAGGCUCAACCUGGGAACUGCGUCCGAUACUGGAUGGCUUGAAUCCGGGAGAGGGAUGCAGAAUUCCAGGUGUAGCGGUGAAAUGCGUAGAUAUCUGGAGGAAUACCGGUGGCGAAGGCGGCAUCCUGGACCGGUAUUGACACUGAGGCGCGAAAGCCAGGGGAGCAAACGGG
rnacentral:rRNA from 1 species